UAGGUGAUGUAAACUGUGUGAGACGAGAGAUGUAAUGUAGUUCACUGAGCGGUUUCACACUAAACUAAGUGGUCAUAUGACAAACCUAGGCUAACGGAGACUUUCUUCGGUU